ACCUCGGAUCAGGUAGGGAUACCCGCUGAACUUAAGCAUAUCAAA
rnacentral:rRNA from 2 species